GACGAACGCUGGCGGCGUGCUUAACACAUGCAAGUCGAACGGAAAGGCCCUGCUUUUGUGGGGUGCUCGAGUGGCGAACGGGUGAGUAACACGUGAGUAACCUGCCCUUGACUUUGGGAUAACUUUAGGAAACUGGGGCUAAUACCGGAUAGGAGCUCCUGCUGCAUGGUGGGGGUUGGAAAGUUUCGGCGGUUGGGGAUGGACUCGCGGCUUAUCAGCUUGUUGGUGGGGUAGUGGCUUACCAAGGCUUUGACGGGUAGCCGGCCUGAGAGGGUGACCGGCCACAAUGGGACUGAGAUACGGCCCAGACUCCUACGGGAGGCAGCAGUGGGGAAUAUUGCACAAUGGGCGGAAGCCUGAUGCAGCAACGCCGCGUGCGGGAUGACGGCCUUCGGGUUGUAAACCGCUUUCGCCUGUGACGAAGCGUGAGUGACGGUAAUGGGUAAAGAAGCACCGGCUAACUACGUG
rnacentral:rRNA from 1 species